UGGCAUGCCUGUAGCGCUUUCACGAAACCUCUUAGAGUUGCGAAAACAAAUCUAAUUAAAAUAAAAGCUUAAGUUUUGUAUUUAUCUUGUACCAUAGAACAUGAUUUUCUUUGUAUUUCAAGCCCACAAAGUGUCCAAAUGACGCACUACAUGAUAUAAGGAGGAUUAUCACAUGCAUAUCGGUAUUAUCUUUCUUAUGAAAAUGCAUUCCUUUCAUUACCUUUUACUUUUUAAAAUGAACUCAAAUUGUGUAGAAUGUAAUAAUUUAAGUAGAAUAGAUUCUAAUAACAUAAUGAUCCAGUGUGUUGCACUACUUCACUGCUUCCGUGCUCUAUGCCGUCUGGAAAUAAAUCCUCAGACUGCUUACUGCCCUGGGCAUGUACCAAUAAAUCCAAAUGCACAUCUGAAUCCCAAACAGAAUCUCUAGUAAAAUAUGAUCAUUUGUGAAACAGGCAAAUGACUGUCUCAGGGGCCCAUUCCUCAUUCUCAAGACACAUGUAUGCAGUACAUACACCAUGCAUUGAGCAAUAGGGACUGAAAACACCACAGGUAAGGUUAGAAGUCAUUCUGAGGUGC
rnacentral:lncRNA from 1 species